GCCUGAAACAGAUCAUCGGUGGGAUUCACUGAGCGCUUACUCUAUGCAAAGAGCACUGAACUAAAUGCUUAGGAGAGUACAGUGCAAUAAAGUCGGAAGGAGAUGAGCCCGCGGAGCUUUCCACCAGAAGUGGGGAAGUCCGGGGACCUUGGGACAAUAAAUAGAUACUAUUGAGUGAAUUUCCCAGACCACGGCUCUUUUUCAGUUUUUCCUUCCAACAGAAGGAGAAGAGGACCAGAGGACAAGGAGGCCCCAGACGCCAGAGUGCA